rnacentral:lncRNA from 1 species
AUGGUUGGCGCAUACUCUGGUGUGAAGGUGGGACUCCGCGAAGACGUCGCACAGUACCUGGAAUUGUGUAUUGUGCACAACCUUGUGCUGAGACAACGGAAAACCGCCAUCUUAUUGCUCACUCAAUGCCUCCAUAACACCAAUUUUUCACUCCCGGGCUUUGCAGCAGCCCGGUGUACUUUCCAUAAUACGCCUAUUACACAGGCAUCCUCACUAGCCAUCGCUUACACAAUUACCCGUGUGAUUUUCUCCAUCCCGGCGUGGUUGCCAUCGUCUUCGGUCCCCACCCAGUAUAACUUCGGGCGCCUGCAUCACGGGUGCCCUAAAAAAAUAGGAGACGCGUUCCCCUCCUCCCAGGUUUCUGGUUUCUCCACCCAGUCUCCCCACCGUCCUCCACUCCUCGCACCCCAGCCCUUCCGGCCUCCACCCAGACCGGGGAGAAGCGGGCCUGACAUUCCAGGUAGUUACAGAAAACUUAUUAUCCUGAUGCUGAGAAGCAAACACUUUAAGAGGCACCUGGAACCCUGGUGCGCCGUUGCCAGACUCAGUUCAGAUUGAGAAACAGUGGGACCUGGGACUGAAACGCCUGCUGCCUGACCUCUGGAGGAUUUUCCUUUUUGGAGUUUUAAUAGGUGUCAUCAGCCCAGUAGGGGAGACUCUUGGCAAACUCGAGAUUUUCUCCUUCCAGAAGCUCACUGGUCCUGCCUCUGUGAAAGGGCCAAAUUUGUCAGUGGGAAAAGAAUUUUAAGAAGUAUCAUGAAGUAAACGAUUUUGCCAUGCUCUGGAUAUUGACCCUUACUAAUAAAGCUUCUUACAUUUUUAAACA